AUGGAGAGCAUGAGCAAAAGGGGCAGAGGAAGAGAGAAUCCUCGAGUAGACUCCAUACUGAGUAUAGAGCCUGACAUGGGGCCCAAACUCAUGACUUUGAAAUCAUGAUUGAGCCAACACCAAGAGUAGGACACCAAACCAGCUGUGCCAUUCAGCUUAUUUGUACGUGCCUAAUCCAGUACUUUUUAACUAUUACAAACAUCCCUUCUUAAAAGAAAAGCUAGAAGCAAAGGACACCAAGACCCUAGAGCAGAGGUUCUUCAACUACAGCUCCAGGGCAAGGGUAACAAAGUAUGGUCCCCAUAACAGCAACAGCAACAUCACUUGGGAAAUUGUGAGAAAUGCACAUUUUUAGCACCCACUCCACACCAGACCUAAUAAAUCAAAAACUGGGGGUAGGGCCCAAAUAUGUGAUUAAACAAGUCUUCCA